rnacentral:rRNA from 1 species
GCGAAGGUAGCGUAAUCACUUGUUCUUUAAUUGAGGACUAGUAUGAAUGGCUUCACGAGGACUAUACUGUCUCCUUUUUCUAAUCAAUGAAACUAAUCUCCCCGUGAAGAAGCGGGGAUAACUUUAUAAGACGAGAAGACCCUAUGGAGCUUUAAACAAUUGAAAUAUUUGCUUUUACUAACUACCUCCGUGGCCUAAAUAUAUUUAAGCAUUAUUAAUUUCUAGUUUUAGGUUGGGGUGACCACGGAGUAAAAUUUAACCUCCACGCUGAAAGUAAAGCCUUCUUAGCAAAAAGCCACAUCUUUAUGCAUCACUAAACUGACUUACAUUGACCCAAUUAUUUGAUCAACGAACCAAGUUACCCUAGGGAUAACAGCGCAAUCUACCUCAAGAGCCCGUAUCGACAGGUAGGUUUACGACCUCGAU